AUUGAACGCUGGCGGCAUGCCUUACACAUGCAAGUCGAACGGUAACAGGUCUUCGGACGCUGACGAGUGGCGAACGGGUGAGUAAUACAUCGGAACGUGCCCAGUCGUGGGGGAUAACUACUCGAAAGAGUAGCUAAUACCGCAUACGACCUGAGGAUGAAAGCGGGGGACCUUCGGGCCUCGCGCGAUCGGAGCGGCCGAUGGCAGAUUAGGUAGUUGGUGGGAUAAAAGCUUACCAAGCCGACGAUCUGUAGCUGGGCUGAGAGGACGACCAGCCACACUGGGACUGAGACACGGCCCAGACUCCUACGGGAGGCAGCAGUGGGGAAUUUUGGACAAUGGGCGAAAGCCUGAUCCAGCAAUGCCGCGUGCAGGAUGAAGGCCUUCGGGUUGUAAACUGCUUUUGUACGGAACGAAAAAGCUCCUUCUAAUACAAGGGGCCCAUGACGGUACCGUAAGAAUAAGCACCGGCUAACUACGUGCCAGCAGCCGCCGUAAGAC
rnacentral:rRNA from 1 species